rnacentral:rRNA from 1 species
GGUUAGAUAAGUNUGAAGUUAAAGGCUGUGGCUUAACCAUAGUACGCUUUGGAAACUGUUUAACUUGAGUGCAGAAGGGGAGAGUGGAAUUCCAUGUGUAGCGGUGAAAUGCGUAGAUAUAUGGAGGAACACCGGUGGCGAAAGCGGCUCUCUGGUCUGUAACUGACGCUGAGGCUCGAAAGCGUUGGUAGCGAACAGGAUUAGAUACCCUGGUAGUCCACGCCGUAAACGAUGAGUGCUAGGUGUUAGGCCCUUUCCGGGGCUUAGUGCCGGAGCUAACGCAAUAAGCACUCCGCCUGGGGAGUACGACCGCAAGGUUGAAACUCAAAGGAAUUGACGGGGGCCCGCACAAGCGGUGGAGCAUGUGGUUUAAUUCGAAGCAACGCGAAGAACCUUACCAGGUCUUGACAUCCCGAUGCUAUUCUUAGAGAUAGGAAGUUACUUCGGUACAUCGGAGACAGGUGGUGCAUGGUUGUCGUCAGCUCGUGUCGUGAGAUGUUGGGUUAAGUCCCGCAACGAGCGCAACCCUUAUUGUUAGUUGCCAUCAUUAAGUUGGGCACUCUAGCGAGACUGCCGGUAAUAAACCGGAGGAAGGUGGGGAUGACGUCAAAUCAUCAUGCCCCUUAUGACCUGGGCUACACACGUGCUACAAUGGUCGGUACAACGAGUUGCGAGCCGGUGACGGCAAGCUAAUCUCUGAAAGCCGAUCUCAGUUCGGAUUGGAGGCUGCAACUCGCCUCCAUGAAGUCGGAAUCGCUAGUAAUCGCGGAUCUGCACGCCGCGGUGAAUACGUUCCCGGGCCUUGUACACACCGCCCGUCACACCACGAGAGUUUGUAACACCCGAAGUCGGUGAGGUANCCUUUUAGGG